rnacentral:rRNA from 1 species
GACGAACGCUGGCGGCGUGCUUAACACAUGCAAGUCGAACGGAAAGGCCCUGCUUUUGUGGGGUGCUCGAGUGGCGAACGGGUGAGUAACACGUGAGUAACCUGCCCUUGACUUUGGGAUAACUUCAGGAAACUGGGGCUAAUACCGGAUAGGAGCUCCUGCUGCAUGGUGGGGGUUGGAAAGUUUCGGCGGUUGGGGAUGGACUCGCGGCUUAUCAGCUUGUUGGUGGGGUAGUGGCUUACCAAGGCUUUGACGGGUAGCCGGCCUGAGAGGGUGACCGGCCACAGUGGGACUGGGAUACGGCCCAGACUCCGACGGGAGGCAGCAGUGGGGAAUAUUGCACAAUGGGCGGAAGCCGGAUGCAGCAACGCCGCAUGCGGGAUGACGGCCUUCGGGUUGUAAACCGCUUUCGCCUGUGACGAAGCGUGAGUGACGGUAAUGGGUAAAGAAGCACCGGCUAACUACGU